CCUACGGGAGGCAGCAGUGGGGAAUAUUCCACAAUGGGGGAAACCCUGAUGCAGCAACGCCGCGUGAGUGAAGAAGUAUUUCGGUAUGUAAAGCUCUAUCAGCAGGGAAGAAGAAAGACGGUACCUGACUAAGAAGCCCCGUCUAACUACGUUCCAGCAGCCGCGGUAAUACGUAGGUGGCAAGCGUUAUCCGGAUUUACUUGGUGUAAAGGGAGCGUAGACGGCGGUCCAAGUCUGGGGUGAAAGGCGGGGGCUCAACCCCCGGAGGGCACUGGAAACUGGACGGCUGGAGUGCAGGAGAGGUGAGUGGAAUUCCUAGUGUAGCGGUGAAAUGCGUAGAUAUUAGGAGGAACACCAGUGGCGAAGGCGGCUUACUGGUCUGUAACUGACGUUGAGGCUCGAAAGCGUGGGGAGCAAACAGGAUUAGAUACCCGUGUAGUC
rnacentral:rRNA from 1 species